rnacentral:rRNA from 1 species
UACGAGGGGGGCAAGCGUUGCUCGGAAUGACUGGGCGUAAAGGGCGCGUAGGCGGAUGGCACAGUCAGAUGUGAAAUUCCUGGGCUUAACCUGGGGGCUGCAUUUGAGACGUGUGAUCUGGAGUGAGGAAGAGGGUUGUGGAAUUCCCAGUGUAGAGGUGAAAUUCGUAGAUAUUGGGAAGAACACCGGUGGCGAAGGCGGCGACCUGGUCCUUAACUGACGCUGAGGCGCGAAAGCAUGGGGAGCGAACAGG